rnacentral:rRNA from 1 species
UACGUAGGGACCAAGCGUUGUUCGGAUUUACUGGGCGUAAAGGGCGCGUAGGCGGUGUGUCAAGUCAGGCGUGAAAGCCCCGGGCUCAACCUGGGAACCGCGCUUGAGACUGGCACGCUAGAGUUCGGGAGAGGAUGGUGGAAUUCCCAGUGUAGAGGUGAAAUUCGUAGAUAUUGGGAAGAACACCGAUGGCGAAGGCAGCCAUCUGGACCGACACUGACGCUGAGGCGCGAAAGCGUGGGGAGCGAACCGG